rnacentral:rRNA from 1 species
AUGACUGUGUCGCUCCUAACCGGAACGGGGAAGUUCAACAUCAGCGGCGCUGUCGUGGGACCUGCAGGGAGUGCAGGCCAAGCUGCACCGGGUGCACCGCCAGUUCGACGGGCUCAACAUGAAACUGUUGGUGGAGCACGCGGCAACGGCCGAGGAGCGCGCCCGGGAGGAGUGCCGGCUGGACUUCGUGGACAUGCUCCGGUUGGUGGCCUGGAGCAUGCCGGGGCGAGACGGACAACGCGAGUCGCGAGCAGAGGACGAAGCAAGGAUGAGCGCCGCGGGAUCGGCCGGGCCUCUGGGGGCAUGUCACAGGUGGCGGAGGCUGUGGGCGGGGCCGUCCGAAACGGAUCGGAGGCGAGGCUGCUGGCCGGAUCUGGAGCGGGCCGAUGA